rnacentral:misc_RNA from 1 species
GAUGAAGAACGUAGCAAAAUGCGAUAAGUAAUGCGAAUUGCAGAAUUUCCGUGAGUCAUCGAAUCUUUGAACGCACAUUGCGCCCAUUGGUAUUCCGAUGGGCAUGCCUGUUCGAGCGUCAUUAUCUUCCCUCAAACCUCGCGUUUGGUGUUGGGCCGUGCUGGUUCCUGCGUGACCAACUGGCCUCAAAGACAAUGACGGCGUCCGUGGGACCCUCGAUGCAACGAGCUUCUCAGGAGCACGCGUCGAGUUUCAAGGACCUUCCGGGCCGGUCUCUACUCAUGUUAUUACAAGGUUGACCUCGGAUCAGGUAGGGAUACCCGCUGAACUUAAGCAUAUCAAUAAGCGGAGGA